GACGAACGCUGGCGGCGUGCUUAACACAUGCAAGUCGAGCGGAAAGGCCCUUCGUGGUACUCGAGCUGCGAACGGGAGAGGAACACGUGAGUAAGCUGCCCUUGGCCUUGGGUUAACUACCGGAAACGGUAGCUAAUACCAGAAACGACAACCGUCUGCAUGGGCAGGGUGGGGAAAGGAUAUUCGGCCAGGGCUGUGCUCGCGGCCUUUCAGCUUGUUGGUGGGGUAGGGGCCUACCAAGGCUUCGACGGGUAGCCGGCCUGGGCGGGUGAGCGGCCACACUGGGACUGAGACACGGCCCAGACUCCUACGGGAGGCAGCAGUGGGGAAUAUUGGACAAUGGGCGGAAGCCUGAUCCAGCAACGCCGCGUGAGGGAUGACGGCCUUCGGGUUGUAAACCUCUUUCAGUACCGACGAAGCGCCGAUGAUGGUGGUGACGGUAGGUACAGAAGAAGCACCGGCCAACUACGUG
rnacentral:rRNA from 1 species